rnacentral:rRNA from 1 species
AGGAUGUUGGGUUAAGUCCCGCAACGAGCGCAACCCUUAUCAUUAGUUGCUAACAUUCAGUUGAGAACUCUAAUGAGACUGCCAGUGAUAAACUGGAGGAAGGUGGGAUGACGUCAAAUCAUCAUGCCCCUUAUGACCUGGGCUACACACGUGCUACAAUGGCCGGUACAAAGAGUUGCGAAACUGUGAAGUUAAGCUAAUCUCAUAAAGCCGGUCUCAGUUCGGAUUGUAGUCUGCAACUCGACUACAUGAAGUCGGAAUCGCUAGUAAUCGCGAAUCAGAAUGUCGCGGUGAAUACGUUCUCGAGUCUU